GGGGCCGCAGAGGAAAGCGGGCAGGCUCUGGUUGCGGUGCUCCAGGCAAGCCCGAGCACUUCCUUUGUGAGCACUGACAAAGAGAGAUGCACAAGUCAACUGCUGUCUUCCAGGAGGCCCCCAGGACCCUGGGGGUGGUGGCGGGGUCCGCAGUCAGCACCCGUCAUCUCCAUCUUUUGCGCAGAGUUAAGUGUUCACGAUUUGCGCACUUUCCCCCUUCACCAGCCAGCGGUCAGUCACUCUUUCAAGUUCCCAUCCCUGUUUUUCCAGUGAAAACCCAGGUCUGGGAGCAUCAGGAGCCUUCCAGGACCACCGUCCAAGGACAGGCAAUCCUGUCCGAAUUUCCAUCCAGUCCGUCGUGUCCCGGGAGGCCGCUUGGUUUCCGGUGGCUUCGCCUGAUUCCUUCCUGCUUCAGAGCAGGAAUCGCUUCAAAGAAGGGGAAGAUCAUUUGAAGUUUCAGAAAUGUCCAAUUGGCCAAUUAUCACAGGAGAAAAAAACGCCGACCUGGAGUCAGUCGUGGACGUGGCCGUCCCAGCUUUGCUACCGACCGUGUGACCAUAGACGGGCGUCUUGUCUCCAAGCCUCACUUCCCACCUGUGGGACAGCGCAGCGGCGACACUCAGAGGCCCCUUCCAGCUUCCAGUGUUCCCAUCUCCAGACCUGACCAGCAGAAAAUGGGCCAUUUUCCUUUACUUUGGAGACACACAGAACGGAGCAGAGAUGCACACGGAAAGAGCCUUUGGGGAAGGUCACCCUUGACCUAACCUUCUAGGUUCGGCGAAACCGUCUCAACUGGAAUGCCAGGUAAAUGAUUAAAACGUGAGGGGGCAUUGUUCUGGCUUUUUUCAUGAUCCGGUCAUUUAAUCCCAACACCGCUGUGUGAAAUGUAUUCCUGUUUGCAUGGGGGAGGCCCAUAGGUUUUUAAUUCUUCUGUGGGAAACAAAGGCCCUCAUUCACUAAACAGUAACUCAAGACGGUCGUUUCUGCUCUUACCAG
rnacentral:lncRNA from 1 species